rnacentral:lncRNA from 1 species
AUACAUGAAUAUAUAUAGGCAGUUGCUAUUUGUCCGGCUAGCCGGACGAAUAGUACCAGGACUAUUUGUCCGGCCAAUACAAUGCGCAUAUCACUAUUUGUGUGUGCGUGUAAUAUUAUCUUCAGCAGCACCAGGGGGUAGCAAAUGUUUGUAAUCUUUAUUGUUAGGACCCCAUCUUGUUACUGGUAAUUGAAAUUGUUGUUUUCUUGAUACUAGUAUAUAGUCCAAUGUGGAUAAUGAUAAUUAGAAAAAAAUCAUAUAUAUUUCCAAUUUAAGAAGAGAGAAGAAAUUACUUGUAAAAUAAACUCGGGUUGUGUUUGAUUCAUGCAUUUUAAGUUAACAUAAAGGACUGUGUCUAGCUAAAAAAAGGUUGUCUGUAGCGGUCAAAGAGAAUUAUAGACACCUUGACAUAAAGUUAGCCAUAUUUUGAGUGAGAGGCUGGAGAUUUUUCUAUAACCCCUCCCCCUGAUAAAAUAAGGAAACAGCACUAUUAAAAUCUUAUUCAGAAAUUCCAGGUGGGAUUUUAUUUAAUUUACGUGAGGGGGUUGGUGACACGGUGUACUCCUUUUCUCAAAUUCCUCUUUUCUUUUUUUUCCAGAUCACACAUUUGUGUGUCUCCAUAUUUCAUUACCCCACUUUUGGUAAUCUCGUCCCACCACAUCCCACUAUAUCCAAUUUCGAUACUUGCAAGAUUCAUUUGCGAAAUAUAAUUAAAUUUAAUUAGUUUAGACAUGCAAUUGUAAAGGCCUUUCUCAACUACUCUUGCAUUGAAAAUCUUUUCCAACAUUUAUACAGCUGUAGCGAGUAUUGUAUCAUUCUAUGAAGUUCAUUCUAUAGUAUUCCAUUUUAAAAUUCCGAAAACGUCAAAAGAUAUCACAAAUAUUGAUAUCGCCGUUUUCAGCCAUGAUCAUAAAAUUGAAAAUCAGUGAUCGGAUUACACGCGACCUCCUGGUGCUACAGAAGAUAAUAUUACACGCACUUCCGAACGCACAUAAUGACAUACGCAUUGCAAUGGCCGGACA